GUGCUCGCUUCAGCAGCACAUAUACUUAAAUGGGAACAAUACAGAGAAGAUUAGCAUGGCUCCUGCGCAAGGAUGGCAUGCAAAUUUAUAAAGCGUUAAAAAGAGAG